UGGGUAAUCUGCCCUCGAUUCUGGGAUAGCCCGGGGAAACCCGGAUUAAUACCGGAUAGCCUCUCGAGCUCUCGGGCUCGUGAGAAAAGGUAGCUUCGGCCUCCGAUCGAGGAUGAGCCCGCGGCGGAUUAGCUUGUUGGUGGGGUAACGGCUCACCAAGGCAACGAUCCGUAGCUGGUCUGAGAGGACGAUCAGCCACACUGGGACUGAGACACGGUCCAGACUCCUACGGGAGCAG
rnacentral:rRNA from 1 species